rnacentral:rRNA from 1 species
UACGUAGGGGGCUAGCGUUGUCCGGAAUCAUUGGGCGUAAAGCGCGUGUAGGCGGUCCGGUAAGUCCGCUGUGAAAGUCGGGGGCUCAACCCUCGGAUGCCGGUGGAUACUGUCGGGCUUGAGUACGGAAGAGGCGAGUGGAAUUCCUGGUGUAGCGGUGAAAUGCGCAGAUAUCAGGAGGAACACCGGUGGCGAAGGCGGGUCUCUGGGCCGAUAUUGACGCUGAGGUGCGAAAGCGUGGGGAGCAAACAGG